UACGUAGGGUCCGAGCGUUGUCCGGAAUUAUUGGGCGUAAAGGGCUCGUAGGCGGUUUGUCGCGUCGGGAGUGAAAACUCAGGGCUCAACCCUGAGCGUGCUUCCGAUACGGGCAGACUAGAGGUAUGCAGGGGAGAACGGAAUCCCUGGUGUAGCGGUGGAAUGCGCAGAUAUCAGGAGGAACACCGGUGGCGAAGGCGGUUCUCUGGGCAUUACCUGACGCUGAGGAGCGAAAGCAUGGGGAGCGAACAGG
rnacentral:rRNA from 1 species